rnacentral:rRNA from 1 species
AGUGAACGCUGGCGGUAGGCCUAACACAUGCAAGUCGAACGGCAGCACAGUAAGAGCUUGCUCUUACGGGUGGCGAGUGGCGGACGGGUGAGGAAUACAUCGGAAUCUACUUUUUCGUGGGGGAUAACGUAGGGAAACUUACGCUAAUACCGCAUACGACCUACGGGUGAAAGCAGGGGAUCUUCGGACCUUGCGCGAUUGAAUGAGCCGAUGUCGGAUUAGCUAGUUGGCGGGGUAAAGGCCCACCAAUGCGACGAUCCGUAGCUGGUAUGAGAGGAUGAUCAGCCACACUGGAACUGAGACACGGUCCAGACUCCUACGGGAGGCAGCAGUGGGGAAUAUUGGACAAUGGGCGCAAGCCUGAUCCAGCCAUACCGCGUGGGUGAAGAAGGCCUUCGGGUUGUAAAGCCCUUUUGUUGGGAAAGAAAAGCAGCAGGUUAAUACCCCGCUGUUCUGACGGUACCCAAAGAAUAAGCACCGGCUAACUUCGUG